CAGGUGGUGCAUGGUUGUCGUCAGCUCGUGUCGUGAGAUGUGGGUUAAGUCCCGCAACGAGCGCAACCCUCGACCUUAGUUGCCAGCAUUCAGUUGGGCACUCUAGCGAGACUGCCGGUAAUAAACCGGAGGAAGGUGGGGAUGACGUCAAAUCAUCAUGCCCCUUAUGACCUGGGCUACACACGUGCUACAAUGGUUGGUACAACGAGUUGCGAGUCGGUGACGGCGAGCUAAUCUCUUAAAGCCAAUCUCAGUUCGGAUUGUAGGCUGCAACUCGCCUACAUGAAGUCGGAAUCGCUAGUAAUCGCGGAUCAGCACGCCGCGGUGAAUGCGUUCCCGGGCCUU
rnacentral:rRNA from 1 species